rnacentral:tRNA from 2 species
GGCGGCGUAGCCAAGAGGUCCAAGGCAGAGGUUUGCAAAACCUCCAUUCACCAGUUCGAAUCUGGUCGCCGCCUCCA